GGAUGAAUAGCUCAACGGCAGAGCGGGUGCUUGUUAAGUACCGGGUUGAAAGUUCGAAUCUUUCUUCAUCCU
rnacentral:tRNA from 2 species